GAUGAACGCUGGCGGCGUGCCUAAUACAUGCAAGUCGAGCGAACAGACGAGGAGUUUGCUCCUCUGACGUUAGCGGCGGACGGGUGAGUAACACGUGGAUAACCUACCUAUAAGACUGGGAUAACUUCGGGAAACCGGAGCUAAUACCGGAUAAUAUAUUGAACCGCAUGGUUCAAUAGUGAAAGACGGUUUUGCUGUCACUUAUAGAUGGAUCCGCGCCGCAUUAGCUAGUUGGUAAGGUAACGGCUUACCAAGGCAACGAUGCGUAGCCGACCUGAGAGGGUGAACGACCACACUGGAACUGAGACACGGUCCAGACUCCGACGGGAGGCAGCAGUAGGGAAUCUUCCGCAAUGGGCGAAAGCCUGACGGAGCAACGCCGCGUGAGUGAUGAAGGUCUUCGGAUCGUAAAACUCUGUUAUUAGGGAAGAACAAAUGUGUAAGUAACUAUGCACGUCUUGACGGUACCUAAUCAGAAAGCCACGGCUAACUACGUG
rnacentral:rRNA from 1 species